rnacentral:lncRNA from 1 species
AUGAAUAAUGAAAAUAUCGCUCGUCUUAUUCGACUCCCCGAUGAUGUUUUUUACAACAUAAUAAAAUAUUUGACAGUGAACGAAACACUGAAAUUAAAAUUAGUAAGCAAAGGUUUUUUUUAUUAUUUAAAGGGUGAUAAAGCUUAUAGCUUGAAUAGUUGUAUAAGUCUGAAUAACUAUAUACACAUUGUAAAUUUUGUGGACCCGCAAAAUUUAAGAAAGUUUUUUCUUUCCAUUUUAAAUAAUGAGAACAAUAUUUACAUUAACCCAAAUUAUGUUAAAAACAACAUUUAUUUGGGCAUAAACCAAAAACAGCUAUUUUCAAAAGAAAACCCAUUUUUAAAAAAAAUAAUUUUAAAAGGUGAAUUUUUGCGAAAUACAAAUUUACAUAAUAUCGGUCUACUUCUAAAUGCACAUGCAAAUACAUUAGAAGAGUUAUACAUUCAAGGAUUAAAUGAUAUAAAUUGCUCUUUAUUCAUUUACUCUAGUUGUAGUAUAUUGUUUGAUUUUUUAUCUAAAGAAAUUUUAUUUAAUAAUUUAUCAGUUAACUCUAUAAAAAAAAAUGAGUUAAAACAAGUUCAAGAUAUUAUAUUACAAUGGAGAGAGAAAGAAUUAAAAAAAGAAAAUGACAGUAGUGAUAGUAACUGUAGUAACAAAACAGAAACAUAUGCUCUGUUGAAUGAUGAUAACAACUAUGAUAUUAACCAGGAUAUAACAAAAAGAUCUGAAAAAUAUAUACCAACAAGGAUAGAAAAACCUCAAAUGUGUAAAAAAUAUAUGAACAACAAGCUAGAAUAUAAUAUAAAAAAUAUAGUAAAUAAUAUAGUAAAUAAUAAUAAUAAUAAUAAACAUAAAGUGUCUUUUUUAUGUGAACAUAUUAACGUUGUAUAUAAUUGUAAUAAAAAAUGUUUUGAAAAAAUACAAAAUUAUAAACAAAAAAUAAACCUGAACAAUUAUAUUAACAGUUUACAUUCACUUAAAAUACUUAAUUUGUCAGGUAUACAGAGUUAUGAUAUGAUUGAAAUGUUUAUAGAAAUAAAUUUACCAAAUUUAAAAACAUUGAAUAUAUUAUGUUAUGAUUACUUUUUUUAUUUUUAUCAUAUGCUUAUAUCUACUUGUUUUUAUGGAAAUGGAAAAGAAGUAUUUACACGAUAUAUAAAUUAUAAAAAAAUGAAAACACGGAGAAUUAUUAUAACAGUUUUUAUCAUAGUAACAACAAUAACAGUAGUGAAUGUCAUACUAAUAAAAAAAAAGAAGUUUACGAAUGUAACCGACAAAUAUAUAACAUGAUAAAAGAAUUUGACGUACAGUUAAACGAAAUAAACAAUUAUAACAACAGCA